CCUUGGCUGUUCUCUCACAUGUCUCCUGAGAGUCUGUUACAGAGAACAACUAGCAGGGGUCUGGGAGCAGGCAUAUUGCCCAUGCUAUUAGCCUGAAGGAGAAAGCAACAUAUAUUCAUCUCAACUGCCAUUGAAAGAGGACAGGAUAGCUAACUGCAUAUGGCCAUAGCAUGUCUCCAAAAGUCCACUGAAGCAGCAUAGUCCCUGACUUGUCUGCUCAUCUACCACCGGUACCUGUCUCAUGUAGAGAGACUGGGGAGAGAGCAAAGAGAUUUAUAUCUUCACAAGACAGCUGCACAACAUCCUAACAGAAGAGGAACGAAAUGGAGAAAAGGCUGUAAUUCCCUUCAAGCCCCUUCUUUACAAAAUGGAGUUUCUAUAGAAAAACCACUGGAAGAGAGCCUCCAAGAUGAAAACUCAUCUGACCCAGCAAAUCCACUGUGACCAUGUGAAACAUUGUGAGUGGGCACUAAUUCUAUACUGCCAUGGAUCUGAUGGGAAUCAUGGCAUCUCAACACUUUAGGUUUAGAUUUAGAUUGAGACUUUAUUGUCACUUGUACUCGAACACGGGUUACAAAAGUACAGUGAAAGGUUUUC